rnacentral:lncRNA from 1 species
AAGAGAAACAGAAAAUAAACAGACCUCCACUGGCUCCGUCCGGGAUGCUGUCCGCUUGGCCACACGUGCCCUCCACUGCCCCAGGAAUGCUCCCCCUUUGAAUAGUUCCUGCUCAUCUCUGAAUAGUCAUGGAUGGGAAACAUCAUUCUAACUGGUUCGGCCCGA